CAGAUUAUUUCUGGAGUUCAAGCACUUGUGAUUUGGAUAAUGGCAACAUUCAAUCUCAGAGAAGUAUCUUGUCUCACUUGGUCUUCUUCUUUGGAAUGAAAGUAGGCUUCAAUGGAUUGGAAGUGAAAAAUCUAGCAAGCCUAACCAACAAAAACGUGAAUCCAGACUGAAUUGGAAUGCAACUUACGAAUGUUUGCUUGGGACUAGAGAACCUUUCCCCAAGUCCAUACCUUUAUCUGUCUGGUGAGCCAAGAGCCU